rnacentral:lncRNA from 1 species
UUGGUAGAUACACAGAGGAUGGACAAACACAUGGUCCGUUUGCAAAGUUUCUUCAAGAUAAUGGGAUUGUUGGUCAAUACACCAUGCCUGGUUCACUAGACCAAAAUGGUGUGGUAGAAAGAAGAAAUCGAAUAUUAUUGGACAUGGUGCGGAGUAUGCAAAACAACUCCAAUCUUCCUAAAUUCUUGUGGAUUGAAGCACUUAAGAUGGUAACAUGUAUAUUAAACUGAGUUCCAACCAAAGUUGUUCCUAAAACACCAUUCGAGUUAUGGAAAGGUUGGAAACCGAGUUUACGACAUGUGUGCGUUUGGGGAUGUCUGUCUGAAGUAAGAAUUUAUAAUCCACAAGAAAGAAAACUGGACCCAAGGACCAUUAGUGGGUAUUUCAUUGGAUAUGCUGAAAGGUCAUUGGAUAUGCUGAAAGGUCCAAGGGGAACAUAUUUUAUUGUCCAUCUCACAAUAUUAGGAUUGUGGAAUCAAGAAAUGCAAAGUUUCUUAAAAAUGACUUGAUUAGUGGGAAUGAUCAAACCAGAAACAUAGUUUCUACAAAUGAUCAUUUAGAAUCUCAACCAUCCAUCUCAAAUGAUAGAUUGAUUAUUGUUCAUAGCACCCCUCAAGUAUAAACUGGUGUUAAACAACCAAUUGUUGAAGUUCCAUAAGUUACUAAAUAUUCCAAUAAAUCAGGUAGUUCAAGAGUUGCCAAGAACUUUUGAACAAUCAGUUAAAUCACAUAUUUCUCAAGAAGAUGAUGGUGCAACAUUAAGAAGAUCUACUAGACCAAAGAAAUCGGCAAUUCCUAAUGAUUAUGUUGUGUAUCUACAAGAAUCUGACUACAACAUUGGAGCCAAAAAUGAUCCUGAGUCCUUUUCGCAGGCCAUGAGUUGCAAAGAAUUUGAAUUAUGGUACAAUGCCAUGAAAGAAAAAAUAAAUUCUCUGAAAAGUAAUAGAGUUUGGGAUCUUGUUGAGUUGCCUAAUGGUACAAAAGCCAUUGGAUGUAAAUGGCUCUUUAAGACAAAGAAAGACUCAUUGGGCAAACAUUGAGAGAUACAAGGCAAUAUUUGUUGCAAAGGGAUUCACUCAAAGGGAAGGAAUAGACUACACGGAGACCUUCUCUCCUAUAUCUAAGAAAGAUUCCUUAUGCAUUAUAUAUCAACAUUAGUAGCUCAUUUUGACUUGGAGUUGCAACAAAUGGAUGUGAAAACGGCAUUUCUCAAUGAAGACCUAGAGGAGGAGGUUUACAUGAAACAACCUGAAGGAUUCCCCUUUAGUGAUGGUGAGCAUUUGGUCUACAAGCUAAAGAAAUUCAUAUACGAUUUAAAACAAGCGUCCCGUCAAUGAUAUUUUAAAUUUCAUGAUGUAAUUUCUUCAUUCGGAUUUGUGAAAAAUAUCAUGGAUCAAUGUAUAUACCAGAUUAUCAGUGGGAGUAAGAUAUGUUUUCUUGCUUUACACGUAGAUGACAUCCUACUUGCAACCAACGAUAAGAGUUUUCUACAUGAAGGAUAUGGGUAAGACAUCUUAUGUCAUUGGCACUAAGAUCCAUAGAGACAGAUUUCAAGGCAUCUUGGGUCUGUCUUAAGAGACCUAUAUCAACAAGGUUCUAGAAAGAUUUUGGAUGAAAAAUUAUUCACCAAGUAUAGCUCCCAUUGUGAAGGGUGACAUGUUCAAUUCGAACCAGUGCCCAAAGAAUGAUCUUAAAAAGGAACAAAUGAAGAAUAUUCCAUAUGCUUCUGCUGUUGGAAGCCUAAUAAAUGCUUAGGUCUAUACAAGACCUGACAUUGCAUUUGCUAUUAGGAUGUUAGGAAGAUAUCAGAGUAAUCCAGGUGUGGACCAAUGGAGAGCUGCAAAGAAAGUGAUGAGUUACCUUCAAGGGACCAAGAAUUACAUGCUUAUGUAUAGACGGAUUGAAAAUCUGGAUGUAAUUGGUUAUUAUGAUUCAGACUUCGUUGGCUGUGUUGAUUCCCGAAAAUUAACAUUUGGAUAUAUCUUUAUGUUUGCCGGUGGAGCUGUAUUUUGGAGGAGUGGAAAGCAGACUUUAACUGCUACUUUUACUAUGGAGGCUGAGUUCGUAUCUUGUUUUGAGGUCACAUGGUGUAUGGAUAAAGAGUUUCAUUUCUGGGCUUAGAAUCGUAGAUUCUAUUUCUAGACCAUUAAGAAUAUAUUGUGACAAUUCAACUACAAUUUUUAUGGCUAAAAACAGUAAAAUUGGUAGUCGAAGCAAGCACAUCGACAUCAAGUAUCUAGCCAUAAGGGAACAUGUUAAAAAGCAUACAGUGGUUAUCGAACACAUUAGCACUAAAUUGAUGAUUGUUGAUCCUUUAACAAAAGGCAUGCCACCGUUAAAAUCUAAGGAUCAUGUAGAUCGUAUAGGACUUGGUUCCUCUAUGUAAUUUUGUUAUAAGAACGGAUGUUCUUUUCAAUGAAACUCUAUUUAUUAUAUUUUCUCAUAUAUGAUUCUUUUUGUGUACACAUUUAUUGAUUUUUUAGAAAUAUCAUUAAUAUUU